rnacentral:rRNA from 1 species
GAUGAACGCUGGCGGCGUGCCUAAUACAUGCAAGUCGAGCGAACAGACGAGGAGCUUGCUUCUCUGACGUUAGCGGCGGACGGGUGAGUAACACGUGGAUAACCUACCUAUAAGACUGGGAUAACUUCGGGAAACCGGAGCUAAUACCGGAUAAUAUUUUGAACCGCAUGGUUCAAAAGUGAAAGACGGUCUUGCUGUCACUUAUAGAUGGAUCCGCGCUGCAUUAGCUAGUUGGUAAGGUAACGGCUUACCAAGGCAACGAUGCAUAGCCGACCUGAGAGGGUGAUCGGCCACACUGGAACUGAGACACGGUCCAGACUCCUACGGGAGGCAGCAGUAGGGAAUCUUCCGCAAUGGGCGAAAGCCUGACGGAGCAACGCCGCGUGAGUGAUGAAGGUCUUCGGAUCGUAAAACUCUGUUAUUAGGGAAGAACAUAUGUGUAAGUAACUGUGCACAUCUUGACGGUACCUAAUCAGAAAGCCACGGCUAACUACGUGCCAGCAGCCGCGGUAAUACGUAGGUGGCAAGCGUUAUCCGGAAUUAUUGGGCGUAAAGCGCGCGUAGGCGGUUUUUUAGUCUGAUGUGAAAGCCCACGGCUCAACCGUGGAGGGUCAUUGGAAACUGGAAAACUUGAGUGCAGAAGAGGAAAGUGGAAUUCCAUGUGUAGCGGUGAAAUGCGCAGAGAUAUGGAGGAACACCAGUGGCGAAGGCGACUUUCUGGUCUGUAACUGACGCUGAUGUGCGAAAGCGUGGGGAUCAAACAGGAUUAGAUACCCUGGUAGUCCACGCCGUAAACGAUGAGUGCUAAGUGUUAGGGGGUUUCCGCCCCUUAGUGCUGCAGCUAACGCAUUAAGCACUCCGCCUGGGGAGUACGACCGCAAGGUUGAAACUCAAAGGAAUUGACGGGGACCCGCACAAGCGGUGGAGCAUGUGGUUUAAUUCGAAGCAACGCGAAGAACCUUACCAAAUCUUGACAUCCUUUGACAACUCUAGAGAUAGAGCCUUCCCCUUCGGGGGACAAAGUGACAGGUGGUGCAUGGUUGUCGUCAGCUCGUGUCGUGAGAUGUUGGGUUAAGUCCCGCAACGAGCGCAACCCUUAAGCUUAGUUGCCAUCAUUAAGUUGGGCACUCUAAGUUGACUGCCGGUGACAAACCGGAGGAAGGUGGGGAUGACGUCAAAUCAUCAUGCCCCUUAUGAUUUGGGCUACACACGUGCUACAAUGGACAAUACAAAGGGCAGCGAAACCGCGAGGUCAAGCAAAUCCCAUAAAGUUGUUCUCAGUUCGGAUUGUAGUCUGCAACUCGACUACAUGAAGCUGGAAUCGCUAGUAAUCGUAGAUCAGCAUGCUACGGUGAAUACGUUCCCGGGUCU